UACGUAGGGCGCAAGCGUUAUCCGGAAUUAUUGGGCGUAAAGAGCUCGUAGGCGGUUUGUCGCGUCUGCCGUGAAAGUCCGGGGCUCAACUCCGGAUCUGCGGUGGGUACGGGCAGACUAGAGUGAUGUAGGGGAGACUGGAAUUCCUGGUGUAGCGGUGAAAUGCGUAGAUAUCAGGAGGAACACCGGUGGCGAAGGCGGCUUUCUGGACAGACACCGACGCUGAGGCACGAAAGCUAGGGGAGCAAACAGG
rnacentral:rRNA from 1 species